CGUGAACGUUAUUCACGUUAUUUGAUAUUAAUAUUUGAUGAUAGAUUACACCUCUAAUUCGAAGGAUCUAAGAAGUCCCCGCAACUACAUUCAUACCGAGGCGGGCCCGAGUGCGCAUGCGUGAGCGGACCUGUCGUGUGACUGUCUUAAAUAAAGUUUUUUUUAACUUUCCGGUCCAUUUAACACAAAGCUACGUCAUAAACAUGGAGCGCUUGGAAGACGACGAUGUUAUAAUCCUUCUGUCAGGAGGAUCCAAGUGAAGCUACAGGAGUUUCAGCAACGUCAAAAACUGGGACCGAACAGUUUGUUUUGCUUGAUGAGGAACAGGAAGGGCAGCCUCUCCCAAAGAGAAGGAGACCUGGAGAGAAACAGAAGCCGGGUUUAAGCCACUGCCACCAUCCACAUACAUCGAGGAAGAUGAGGGAGAGAAAUUCUCCUACCAUUAAAGAGGGCGAUACACUCAAAGACUUUUUCAGUGGACAUUGCUGAUCUAGUUGAAAGUGGGUACUGGCCAGCAACAGUCAAUUUUAAAAGCUUGUAUGCAGUGGAUUGGUUCACUAAAUAUGAGGAUCUCAAGAUUGCGGCUCUGGGAAUGUCACGGCAAGCUUUUGUUAGCAUGCCUGAACAUCGCACAAAAGUCUUAGGUCGCAGAUUAAGAUAUAUGGGGAUACCAUGCAGAAUGCAUUACUGGAAUAGACCUAUGCCAAAUUUGAAGUUGAGAGGCUGUCUCAGGUGCAGCAUUCAGUGCCCUGCGUGCACACCCUCCAUGUUGGCUUUUGCAGUGGAUGGGAUCCGUAAACUAUACGGCUUUAAGAGCCAACCAGGGAUUCUGAGGUGUCUUCCUUGGUUGACUACAUCCAUGAGACGACAAAACACACUGUGCAAAGGACCUUGAGAACAUCACCACUCUACAGGAAGACACAGUCCAGUAAUGGGUGUCAGAUGUUCAGCAGUGGACGACAGGUACUGUGGAAAAAAUGACCAACCAAUCAAAAUGACUUACAGAACGCCAUUGAGGACUCUAUUUGAGCAUUAAGCAGCAAAGAUUUCAGCUGUAUCGUCAGGCUGGCAGUACUGAGGCAUUUACGGAGACGGGACAUGAGGGUCUACUCUGCGUGCUCAAGAGAAGAUUGCACAAAGUUCAAGCUCAGCAGGCUGCAGUGGGUCCGACAUAUUCUGGAACGCCAACAAUGUCUUUGGAUGACUCCUCCUCUGAAGAGGAAAACAUGGAGAGUUACUUCUUCGCUGCUCAAGAACUGCGAGUGCUGUGAUUAGUUCUUCUCAAGUGAAGCUGUACCACUGUGCUCCAGCUCCACACUCCCUCCUGCAGCCUCCGCUCCUGAUGCUAACCUCCUGUCUCCAUCACACCAAGCAGCAAACCUGGAGUGACAGAACUUUCUCCAUAGCUGCCCCCUCCCUCUGAAACCCCCUCUCCCAAACACUAUUUUUGUAUUUUUUUGCAUGAGAAUUGUUGAUCAUAUCAUUUCCAGCAACUGCCUUAAUGUAAUUUUUGUGCAUAAUAAAUGACAUUGAUCAUAA